rnacentral:rRNA from 1 species
AGAGUUUGGAUCCUGCGUCAGGAGUCAACGCCUGGCGGCGUGCCUAAUGCAUGCAAGUCGCACGCUCACCUUUCGGGGUGGGAGUGGCGAACGGCUGAGGAACACGUGCGUACCUGCCCUGCUGCGGGGCAUACCGGCUGGAAACAGCCGACAAUUCCGCAUACGCUUCUUCGGAAGGAAACCUUCGGGGCGGCAGGAGGGGCGCGCGGCCCAUCAGGUUGUUGGUGUGGUAAGAGCGCACCAAGCCGAUGACGGGUCGCUGGUCUGCGAGGACGGCCAGCCAGACUGGGACUGAGACACGGCCCAGACACCUACGGGUGGCAGCAGCAAGGAAUCUUCGGCAAUGGGCGCAAGCCUGACCGAGCAACGCCGCGUGGAGGAUGACGGCCUUCGGGUUGUAAACUCCUUUUCUGCGGGACGAUACGGACGGUACCGCAGGAAGAAGCCCCGGCUAACUCUGUG